GCUGAGUACACACACUUACAGACUGCUGAGUACACACACUUACAGACUGCUGAGUAAAUGCACUCACAGACUGCUGAGUACACACACACACAGACUGCUGAGUACACACACACACAGACUGCUGAAUAUACACACACACAGACUGAUGAAUACACACAUACAUACUGCAUUGAGGGGCGCAGUGUAUGUGUGGAGUGCUGUGUGUGUGUCUGAGGGGUGCUGUGUGUGUGGG